rnacentral:rRNA from 1 species
GGGUUGUGAGGUUAAGCGACUAAGCGUACACGGUGGAUGCCCUGGCAGUCAGAGGCGAUGAAGGACGUGCUAAUCUGCGAUAAGCGUCGGUAAGGUGAUAUGAACCGUUAUAACCGGCGAUUUCCGAAUGGGGAAACCCAGUGUGAUUCGUCACACUAUCAUUAACUGAAUCCAUAGGUUAAUGAGGCGAACCGGGGGAACUGAAACAUCUAAGUACCCCGAGGAAAAGAAAUCAACCGAGAUUCCCCCAGUAGCGGCGAGCGAACGGGGAGGAGCCCAGAGCCUGAAUCAGUGUGUGUGUUAGUGGAAGCGUCUGGAAAGGCGCGCGAUACAGGGUGACAGCCCCGUACACAAAAAUG